UACGUAGGGUGCGAGCGUUAAUCGGAAUUACUGGGCGUAAAGCGUGCGCAGGCGGUUUUGUAAGUCCGAUGUGAAAGCCCCGGGCUUAACCUGGGAAUGGCAUUUGGGACUGCAAGGCCUGAGUGCGGCAGAGGAGACUGGAAUUCCUGGUGUAGCAGUGAAAUGCGUAGAUAUGUGGAGGAACACCGAUGGCGAAGGCAGCCCCCUGGGUCGACACUGACGCUCAUGCACAAAAGCGUGGGGAGCAAACAGG
rnacentral:rRNA from 1 species